UACGUAGGUGGCAAGCGUUAUCCGGAUUUAUUGGGUGUAAAGGGCGUGUAGGCGGGAGCGCAAGUCAGAUGUGAAAACUCAGGGCUCAACCCUGAGCCUGCAUUUGAAACUGUGUUUCUUGAGUGCUGGAGAGGCAAUCGGAAUUCCGUGUGUAGCGGUGAAAUGCGUAGAUAUUAGGAAGAACACCAGUGGCGAAGGCGGCUUUCUGGACUGAAGCUGACGCUGAGGCACGAAAGCGUGGGGAGCGAACAGG
rnacentral:rRNA from 1 species